rnacentral:rRNA from 1 species
GUUCUAACGUAGACCCGUAAUCCGGGUUGCGGACAGUGUCUGGUGGGUAGUUUGACUGGGGCGGUCUCCUCCCAAAGAGUAACGGAGGAGCACGAAGGUUGGCUAAUCCUGGUCGGACAUCAGGAGGUUAGUGCAAUGGCAUAAGCCAGCUUGACUGCGAGCGUGACGGCGCGAGCAGGUGCGAAAGCAGGUCAUAGUGAUCCGGUGGUUCUGAAUGGAAGGGCCAUCGCUCAACGGAUAAAAGGUACUCCGGGGAUAACAGGCUGAUACCGCCCAAGAGUUCAUAUCGACGGCGGUGUUUGGCACCUCGAUGUCGGCUCAUCACAUCCUGGGGCUGAAGUAGGUCCCAAGGGUAUGGCUGUUCGCCAUUUAAAGUGGUACGCGAGCUGGGUUUAGAACGUCGUGAGACAGUUCGGUCCCUAUCUGCCGUGGGCGCUGGAGAAUUGAGGGGGGCUGCUCCUAGUACGAGAGGACCGGAGUGGACGCAUCACUGGUGUUCGGGUUGUCAUGCCAAUGGCACUGCCCGGUAGCUAAAUGCGGAAGAGAUAAGUGCUGAAAGCAUCUAAGCACGAAACUUGCCCC